UACAGUGGACAGGCAGUACUUGUUUUCUGUUCCUUUUAUGCACAUUCUAAGUUUGGUCAGAGCAGGUAACCAUGCAGGAAACCUUUUAUUCCACAAGAGGAAAGGCAUCCACUGCUUCAGAGAUUAUGGAUGCAAAAAUCUAAAUUGACGUAAUCAAUUCAAAUCUUAAAGGAGCGCUGUCAUGCUUUUUUCAGUUGAGCUUAUUUGGAUUAAAUGCUUAAAGUAUGUGUGUUGGCAUUUAAAAAAUCACCAUCAGUAUAGCCAUUUCCUAAAUAUGGGGCAAAACUUCUCAAGUCACUGGACAUGCUUGGCUGGAAUCGCAAGCCUGUGUUUUCCAGAAGGCAAUGGGCGCUCAAACUCCACCCUCGAACGCAUCGACUGGUUUACGGAUGGCCAACCAUCCAGGCAAUCACAUGACACUCCCAGAAAAUACGCUUUAUUGGACAGUAUAUAGUAUAGAGAGACAGGAAGAAUGGGAGCGAGAGAGAGGGGAAGACAUGCGACAAAUGUAGGACGGUCGGAUUCGAACGGCCGACGUCGCGGCUCGCAAUGAGCAUGCGGUCAGUGCUCUACAGGCUGCGCCAGGGAUACACCCCAGACUUCGGUCUUGACUCUUGCACCGUCAUCGACCCUGAGCCUGCCUACCGUCCAAAUGUACUUCUGCCCCGCUGACAGCUUUCCUGGCUACCGGACUUUUUGCAUGGUGUACCGAUUACGAGACUGCCUUCUCCCUCGGUACUGUACUUUGGUUUUGGCUGGAUUUUACGUGUAUGAACAUUGCUUGUUUUUUGACUACGCUCACUGGA